rnacentral:rRNA from 1 species
GAUCAACGCUGGCGGCGUGCCUAAUACAUGCAAGUCGAGCGAACAGACGAGGAGCUUGCUCCUCUGACGUUAGCGGCGGACGGGUGAGUAACACGUGGAUAACCUACCUAUAAGACUGGGAUAACUUCGGGAAACCGGAGCUAAUACCGGAUAAUAUAUUGAACCGCAUGGUUCAAUAGUGAAAGACGGUUUUGCUGUCACUUAUAGAUGGAUCCGCGCCGCAUUAGCUAGUUGGUAAGGUAACGGCUUACCAAGGCAACGAUGCGUAGCCGACCUGAGAGGGUGAUCGGCCACACUGGAACUGAGACGCGGUCCAGACUCCUACGGGAGGCAGCAGUAGGGAAUCUUCCGCAAAGGGCGAAAGCCUGACGGAGCAACGCCGCGUGAGUGAUGAAGGUCUUCGGAUCGUAAAACUCUGUUAUUAGGGAAGAACAAAUGUGUAAGUAACUAUGCACGUCUUGACGGUACCUAAUCAGAAAGCCACGGCUAACUACGUG